GAGUUUGAUCCUGGCUCAGGGUGAACGCUGGCGGCGCGCUUAAUGCAUGCAAGUCGAGCGUGCCCCGACGGCUUCGGCUAUCGGGGAAAGCGGCAGACGGCUGAGUAACGCGUGAGUAACCUGCCCUCCGGUGGGGUAUAACCCCGAGAAAUUGGGGAUAAUCCCGCAUACGGUCCUUGUACUUUGGUAGAAGGAAGAAAGUCUCCGGCCGCCGGGGGAGGGGCUCGCGUCCUAUCAGGUAGUUGGUAGGGUAAUGGCCUACCAAGCCGAUGACGGGUAGCUGGUCUGAGAGGACGACCAGCCAGAGGGGGACUGAGACACGGCCCCCACUCCUACGGGAGGCAGCAGUGGGGAAUAUUGGGCAAUGGCGAAAGCCUGACCCAGCGAUGCCGCGUGAGGAAUGAAGGCCUUCGGUUGUAAACCUCUGUCAGGAGGGACGAUGGGACUUUGUCUUGACGGUACCUCCAGAGGAAGCCCCGGCUAACUCCGUGCCAGCAAGCCGGGGUAAUACGGAGGGGCAAGCGUUGCUCGGAAUUACUGGGCGUAAAGGGUCCGCAGGCGGCUGCGCAAGUCUGGCGUGAAAGCUCCCGGCUUAACUGGGAGAGGACGUUGGAAACUGCGUGGCUAGAGUGAAUGAGAGGGGGGCGGAAAUCCCGGUGUAGUGGUGGAAUGCGUAGAGAUCGGGAAGAACACCAGAGGCGAAGGCGGCCCCCUGGCAUUUGACUGACGCUGAGGCACGAAAGCGUGGGUAGCAAACCGGAUUAGAUACCCUGGUAGUC
rnacentral:rRNA from 1 species